rnacentral:rRNA from 1 species
CCAAUAGCGUAUAUUAAAGUUGUUGCAGUUAAAAAGCUCGUAGUUGAAUUUCGAGACCGGUUUAUUGGUCGUGCUUUUGUACGUACUGGUAUUAUUGGUUUCUCCUUUCUGACGAAUCUUAAUGCCAUUAAUUUGGUGUUUUGGGGAAUCAGGACUGUUACUUUGAAAAAAUUAGAGUGUUUAAAGAAGGCUCACGCUGGAAUACAUUAGCAUGGAAUAACGGAAUAGGACGUUUGAUUCUAUUUUGUUGGUUUCUAGGAUCGACGUAAUGAUUAAUAGGGAUAGUUGGGGGCAUUAGUAUUCAAUUGUCAGAGGUGAAAUUCUUGGAUUUAUUGAAGACUAACUACUGCGAAAGCAUUUGCCAAGGAUGUUUUCAUUAAUCAAGAACGAAAGUUAGGGGAUCGAAGACGAUCAGAUACCGUCGUAGUCUUAACCAUAAACUAUGCCGACUAGGGAUCGGAUGAUGUUAAUUUUUUAAUGACUCAUUCGGCGCCUUACG